UUAGCUCAUCUUUGUAUGGAAUGGGAUCGUUUGCCUACGUUUGCCGCUAGGGGCGCUGUUCCAACUGCAUACAAAAUUGUGUUA
rfam:Bombyx mori DNA, contig: Bm_scaf28_contig18264, strain: p50T/Dazao, build 2, whole genome shotgun sequence.